CGCGAGACGUUCCGCCCAAGCGGAGCGCAGAGGGAAAUCCCGUGCCACGCCCCAUCUGCAGCGUCUGCGCAGGUGCAAGCGGAGAGAAUCGGGCUUGGCGUAGACGUAGACGUGGUUCUCUGUCUCCUCAGCGUUACUCAGGGUUGGUUUUUCUGGGUGUUUUUUUUGGUUUUAUUUCUUGGUUUGUCUUUGUUUUGUUUGUUUUGUUUUCUCCUAACGACCGUAGCUUCUUGAGGAACAGUGUCACUAGGAGGUUUUGGUCCCACAACUCCAGUGGAAUGACUCUUCUCAACAUCACCAUUCCUUGUGCUUCAGUCUGGCAUCAUUUUCCUUCCACGU